rnacentral:rRNA from 1 species
UGAGGAAUUUUGCGCAAUGGGGGAAACCCUGACGCAGCAACGCCGCGUGAGUGAAGAAGGCCUUUGGGUCGUAAAGCUCUGUCAACUGGGAAGAAGUUAUGUUUAUCUAAUAGGUGGACAUAUUGACGGUACCAGUGGAGGAAGCGCCGGCUAACUCCGUGCCAGCAGCCGCGGUAACACGGGGGGCGCAAGCGUUAUUCGGAAUUAUUGGGCGUAAAGGGCGCGUAGGCGGUUUUAUCAGUCAGAUGUGAAAGCCCGGGGCUCAACCCUGGACGUGCAUUUGAAACAGUAAGACUUGAGUACGGGAGAGGAAAGCGGAAUUCCUGGUGUAGAGGUGAAAUUCGUAGAUAUCAGGAGGAAUACCGAUGGCGAAGGCAGCUUUCUGGACCGAUACUGACGCUGAGGCGCGAAGGCGUGGGUAGCGAACG